UUUUCCAUUUAUUUAGGCCUUCUUUAGUUUCUUUCAACAUUUACAAAAAUUGAGGUGAAAUUCAUGUAACGUGAAAUGAAGCAUCUUAAACUGUACAAUUCAGUGGCACUUAGGACAUUCACAAUGUAACUGGCACGUAUAUGAAGUUCCAAAAUGGCAUCACCCCAAAAGGACACCCCAUAUCCAUUAAGUACACUUCUGCUCCGCCUCCUUGCUGCCAAUACCAAUCUGUUUUCUAUCCCUUUGGAUUUACUAUGCUGGGCAUUUCACAUAUAUGGGAUCAUACAGUACGUGGCCUUUUGUGUCUGGUUCCUUCCACAUAGCAUCAUGUGUUUGAAGUUCACCCAUGUUGUUGUAUCAAUUAAUCCCUUUUUAUGGCUGAAUAAUCAACAACGUUUUACAGGUGUCAGUGUAGAAGUCUUGCCCUUCCCUGAUUAAAUUUAUCCUAAAACAUUUUAUUCUCUUUGAUGUUAUUGUACAUGGAAGAGUUUCCUUAGUUUCAUUUUUGAGUUGUUCAUUGCUAGAGUUCAGAAAUGCAGCUGAAUUUUGCAUAUUGAUCUUGUUUCCUGGGACCUUGUUGAACUCACUUACUGGCUCUUACAUGUGUAUGUGUGUGUGUACUCUUUAGGGUUUUCCAUAUAAAGCAUCAUGUCAUUUGCACAGAGCAUUUUCACUCCUUUCUAAUGGGAAUGUCUUCCUAACCUGAUCCGACUAAACCUUCCAGAAAAAUGCUGUAUGGUCCUGGUGACAACAGACAUCCUUGCCUUGCCCCUAUUACACAUGGAAAGUAUUCAGCCAUUCAUCAUUAAAAAUAUGUUUACUGUGGGGUGUUCUUAGACGCCUUUAUUAGUUGAAGAACUUCCCGUCUUCGGCCAGUUUGCUGACUGCUCCACCAUGGGAGGUAAGCAUUAGUUUCCUCCUGUGUAAAAUGAGGGUAAUAAUCCCCACUGUGCAGUCUUUUGAGGCCUCACUCAGUGUGCUAAGGAUCCUGUGUUGCUGUGGCUGUGGUGUAGGCCAGCAGCUGCAGCUCCAAUCUGACCUCUAGCCUGGGAACCUCCAUAUACUGCUGGUGUGGCCCUAAAAAGCAAACUAAGUAAAUAAGUAAAUAGACAAAAGCAAAGGUGGACGCACAGGGAGGCGUUGUGGUUGGUCAACACGUCUUCUGUGAAGGGAGCUCCCCCCGUGGGUCUCGCCCUCUGCCUGGCAGACGCUGGUGUCUCGCUGGGUCCUGGCUGGGAGCCACCUACUGGGCGAUCCUCCCACCCAGGAGUGGUCCCUGCCACUCUUCUUCUAUGGCAUGCUGUAUGUCUCCCUUCACUCAGUAUCAAGAUCGGUUUUGUCCUCUUUGUCAAUAAAGUCACCGUUAUGUCCCCUGAGCUGAGUUCAAAUUCGGCCUUCAGCACACGCAUCUUGAUGGCAGACUGGUGGGAAGAGGGAAAAACUGGAUGAACUUGUGGCACGUGUCGGGGGAGGAGGCACAGAACCAGAGGAUCCUUUGUAUUUGGGGGAGGUUGCUCAGGUACGCUGAGGAGCGGGCUGGGGGUUGGGGAGACACCAACAGGUUGGAUUCUGGACAGGUGGGGGGCAGGUGGGAAGCCCCCCCACCCCAGACCUGUCACGGUACUGCCCGGCUCUAUUCUGUCACAUCCCCCAGGAGCCAAAAUCAGUCAGACUAGAUCAAGAGAUUAGACUGUUUGCUGUACAUACCUAUUAAGGCAGGCAAGUAGACUUUUAUCUUAGAAGGUGCUUCCCCUCUCUAAACAAUAAGGGUUUUCUAGCUCAUGAUUUAUUGAAACAGAAAAUCUGAUCAAUCAGAACUCCUCAUUCCCCAGGUUUCUCAUUAACUAUGACUCGGUAGUUUUCGCAGAGCCUUCCUGAGCCUUCAAACGACCCACACUGCAGGCAUGGAUGCAAUUCUGGAAAUGAAACUCAAAAGCACAUUUGCUAUUAACUAAUUAAAUACCUAAGGCAUCUGGGCUUUGCUUCUAAAUAAUGGGAGUGAGGUGAGGUAUGUAUCAAACAAAAUUGGCCCUGAGUUGGUGAUUGUUCAAGUGGAGGUCGGGCACGUGAGGUUUCAUUAUACUCUUCUCUCUGCUUCUGUGUAUGCUGGCAAUGUUCUGAAAUAAAAAGGUAAAAGCACACAUUACAUGUCAUCACACCACCCUACACCAGGCUAAAUUCAGAGCCUGACACAACAAAAAAAGAGCUACUAAAGAUGGUAAACUGUAUUCUAUAGAAUCAAGGCCAAGUCCAAGAUGAAAUGCUUUUAAAUGCCGUUUGGAGGCUAUUCUCAUCACAUUUACAACCUGAAUUACUAAAGUUUAAUAUUAAAUCUGUAAUCAUAGGAUCCAACCUUUAAACCUUGCUCAACACCUACCUGAGUUUGACGUCUGCAUCCAAUAGUUGCCCCCUCCUCUCUCCUCCUGUCCUAUCUGGUCAGGCUCCCCACACCCUGCGCCUGUCUGACUCGGAGAUGGGGAAGGGCGGCAGGCACAGGGCCAAGGGCGCACAGAACAGGUUCCCAGGGGCACCUGCCAUGUGACAAUUCUGAGCUGGGCACAGCAGUGGCCACAGGCACCUUGUCCCAAAGGGUCUCGGAACCUGGUGGGGAAGGUGAACGAUAAUCACAAACAUGACCUGCACCCUGAGAAAAUAUGAGGUGCUCCGAGGCCUGACUGGAUGUGUGCAUGUAUGUGUGUGUAUGUGCACGUGCACGUGCGGACCUGUGUUUUGGGGGGUUUGGGGGAUGACACACACACUAAGGCUGGUUUCUGACAUUUAAUAUAUAUAUAUUUUUUUGGUCUUUUUAGGACUGCACCCACGGCAUAUGGAAGUUCCCAGGCUAGGGGUAGAAUGAGAGCUGUAGCCUCUGGCCUACACCAUAGCCAUAGCAACUUGGGAUCCGAGCUGCAUCUGUGCCCUACACCGCAGUUCACGGCAAUGCAGGAUCCUUAAACCACUGAGCGAGGCCAGGGAUCCAACCCUCAACCUCAUGGAUUCUAGUCGGGAUCCUUAAACCACUGAGCGAGGCCAGGGAUCCACCCCUCAACCUCAUGGAUUCUAGUCGGGUUCGUUACUGCUGAGCCACAACCAGAACUCCCUGACAUGUAAGGACUAAGAUGGGAAGAGAGAGUAGGAGCUUGAUAGGAAAAGGGGUAGAGAAGGGGAAAGAUGUGGGCAGAGGAAGGAGACCUGGGAAAACCUAGAGUGAAACAAAGCAAAGCACAGCAUAUUCAAGGAACUGAAAAAAGCAGAAAUGAGGUUGGAAAGGCCGGCGCGGGCAGGAUGGACUCAGUGGGGUCGGGGGGACUGGCCUUUAUCUGGAAGCCCUGGAAGGACGGUGGGGAGGCCUGUGGGGGGUGGGCUUCCUCAGGUUCCCUGACCAGAAGAGGCCACCAGACAGAAGGGAUGGAGGACACUGUUGUGUGAACUUGAGAAACAGUGGCAACUUGGACUUGGGUACUGGGGACACUGGGGACGGAGUGAAGUGGACUAUGUGUUUGGAAGAAAUCUGGAGGACAGACUUAACAGCGCUUGGUGUCGGGGAAGGGGAGGGAAGGGGAGGAUACCAUGGAUAAUCUUCCAACUUGGUGGAUGGAGAGGCCCUUUGCAGGAUAAAAAAAUGAAACCAGCCUUCUCACUCUGACCAGUGCAGCCCUGUCACCUUGGAAACAACUUCCAUUUCUUCCUCUGUGAGGAAAAACUUGAGAACUGUCCAGGGGUGUCCCUGUCCCCGAGGUGGCCCAGCACCUGACGCUGAGGAAUUGAAGCUCCAGUGCCCUGGCCUCCCCCUCCAGACUCUUCUCCUCCCUUCCCCAGAUCCGACCUCUCCCUUCUUCUAAUUAUGCCCCAAGUUAUCUUUUAAGGUUCUGUACAUGACAUGGGGUGGGCUCCCAAGUUAGAAGAACCAACUGGACAGCCACUGAUUAUCUCAAUAGUUGAGCUCCCUCCAACCCAAAGGCACAACCACUUACCUCUCCCUCUAGGGCCCCCGGUUCUCAAGGCCCCAAAUCUUGCUUUGUGUCAUGAAGACUUUUUCCCUUGGGGGAGGAGUGGGGGUUUGAUCAGACAAGAGCCUGUGUAUCAGCCCACUGCAUUUUAGUCGAGAUAUGGAUCUGGGCAGCUGUUCAGUGAAUAAGCCAGCAGCCUGAGAUGGGAUGGCAUGGUUCAUCUUACCGGGUCACCCUGCCCAGACACAAGGCGCUGGGGGGCAGGGGGGCGGGCACGGAAAGAUGGCAGAGCCAAAAGAAAAGCUUCUAGAUUAAACAGAGAUCAAAAUCCCAGCACAACAAAGGGACAUCUCUGCGGUCAACCUCCUAGUGUUCUCUGCCUACAGUACUGGGUCAGCGUCAGCAGGGAGCCCACAGCCACCCGGGCACCUCCACAACAUGGACCCCAUUCUGUGCAGGGGCUGGUGCUGGCCACGUUGGUGGUAACAUGCGCUCUCUUAAGCACUGGAUGCAUCCGACUACAUGGGAACCUCACCACCUCCUGUAAAGAGUGCGGGGGGGUGCUAUUUGCCCAUGUUCCACACUAGGAAGUGUGCAAGUCUGCACAAGCAUCACUGGACUCUGUCCACCUGGGAAAGGCCUGCAAUACCACAGCCUGGUGCAUUCCCAGGUAGAGUCCAUCCUGCUGGGCCGUUCAGCAGAGGCUUCUCUUUAGGCCCACUGUCCUCCAGGACAUACCUCCUGAGCCCCUGCCAUCCUGGGUCUGUCUCCUCACCCACAGCACCGCCAGGCUGCACCCACACCCCCAACCCUAGAAUGAGGGAGCCACUUGUGGGCAUCACUUUGCCCUGAUCUCAUUUUGUCACCUCCUCCAUAGCUCAAGGGGAACGACAAAUCACAGGGUUUUCAAAAAAUAUGGCCUUUUAUUGUCUUGGAUGCAAAUAUAGUUUUCAAACUGCAUUGUAGUGUUGAAUACAGCUGGUGGAAAGGUGCUUCUCAACAGCGGAGCAUAAACGGCCUUGCUCUGGAUGGCGCAGGCCUGAGGCUUGGGGCCUCCGGUGAGCAAGACUCUUCUUGGGUUUUGUUUUUCUGCCCACGAGGGGUGACUGUUUGCUACAGAAGCCCUGACACAGUCACCGGAGCUCACAAGAGAAAAAAAUGAACCAUUUACACAAUGAACUGAAAGCAGAAAAAGGAAAAGAACGUGCUGUUUCAGCUGUGGCGUUACAGAAGAAGCCCACAAACACGAGUGUGAACAGAUUCAGAUAAAGCAGCAGCAAGGGCGCCGAGGGAGGGGCCUCGUGCCAGUUCCCUCGGGGACACACAGCCUCGGCUCCAUGUCUCCUACCUUUUAACUGCAGGAAGGAAACUUUAUGGAAAUGUAUCGAACUUCAGUUUCUCCCAACCCUCUCCACCACCUCAACUCUUGAGGAUGGCACCUCUCUGUUCACAUACCCAGGAGAGAAUUCUUCCAAUUAGCGACACCCAGGGUUGACUCUGGAACCAAAAGGUUGACUGGGAGAUAAAAGCGAAUUUUGCUACAUAAUUGUCAAGGUAUUUCACAAAAAUAAAAUCCAUUAAAAACACCCACAAACACGCACACACACACACACACACAGAGCCAACAUUCAACAGGAAAAGUUCCCUUUUCUUUCUCAAAGGCUGAUUUUUACAAGCCUCGACAGGAACGGCCCCCACGUGGUGAGCUGGGAAAGCCAAGGCCUCAGAAGGGAAAGACAAUGGGGCAGGUGAUGGAGGGGGUGUGGGCGCAGCUGGGGGUUCUGGGGCCUGUCUCUGCUCCCAGAGCCCCUCCGCUCCCCAAACCUGCCUGCCCAGCAGGUCAAGGUGAUGGCAA
rnacentral:lncRNA from 1 species